ACUCAAAGGAAUUGACGGGGGCCCGCACAAGCGGUGGAUUAUGUGGUUUAAUUCGACGAUCCGCGAAGAACCUUACCGGCUCUUGACAUGGGUAGUGUGGUUUGCAGAGAUGCAUUCCUUCAGUUCGGCUGGCUACCACACAGGUGUUGCAUGGCUGUCGUCAGCUCGUGUCGUGAGAUGUUGGGUUAAGUCCCGCAACGAGCGCAACCCUCACCAUCUGUUGCUAACAGGUUAUGCUGAGAACUCUGAUGGAACUGCCGGCGUCAAGCCGGAGGAAGGUGGGGAUGAUGUCAAGUCCUCAUGACCCUUACGAGCCGGGCUACACACGUAAUACAAUGGCGGAGACAACGAGCUAGAGCAAUCCCGCGAGGGCUAGCUAAUCUCUUAAAACCCGCCUCAGUUCGGAUUGCACUCUGCAACUCGAGUGCAUGAAGUUGGAAUCGCUAGUAAUCGCAGAUCAGCACGCUGCGGUGAAUACGUUCUCGGGCCUUGUACACACCGCCCGU
rnacentral:rRNA from 1 species